rnacentral:rRNA from 1 species
GAUGGACGCUGGCGGCGUGCCUAACACAUGCAAGUCGAACGAAGCACCUUUUAAGAUUCUUCGGAUGAUUGAUUGGCGACUGAGUGGCGGACGGGUGAGUAACGCGUGGGUAACCUGCCCUGUACAGGGGGAUAACAGUUGGAAACGGCUGCCAAUACCGCAUAAGCGCACGAGAGGACAUCCUUUUGUGUGAAAAACUCCGGUGGUACAGGAUGGGCCCGCGUCUGAUUAGCUGGUUGGCAGGGUAACGGCCUACCAAGGCGACGAUCAGUAGCCGGUCUGAGAGGAUGAACGGCCACAUUGGAACUGAGACACGGUCCAAACUCCUACGGGAGGCAGCAGUGGGGAAUAUUGCACAAUGGGGGAAACCCUGAUGCAGCAACGCCGCGUGAGUGAAGAAGUAUUUCGGUAUGUAAAGCUCUAUCAGCAGGGAAGAUAAUGACGGUACCUGACUAAGAAGCUCCGGCUAAAUACGUGCCAGCAGCCGCAGUAA